CGCCCAAGAGUUCAUAUCGACGGCGGUGUUUGGCACCUCGAUGUCGGCUCAUCACAUCCUGGGGCUGAAGUAGGUCCCAAGGGUAUGGCUGUUCGCCAUUUAAAGUGGUACGCGAGCUGGGUUUAGAACGUCGUGAGACAGUUCGGUCCCUAUCUGCCGUGGGCGCUGGAGAAUUGAGGGGGGCUGCUCCUAGUACGAGAGGACCGGAGUGGACGCAUCACUGGUGUUCGGGUUGUCAUGCCAAUGGCACUGCCCGGUAGCUAAAUGCGGAAGAGAUAAGUGCUGAAAGCAUCUAAGCACGAAACUUGCCCCGAGAUGAGUUCUCCCUGAGACUUUAAGUCUCCUGAAGGAACGUUAAAGACGAUGACGUUGAUAGGCCGGGUGUGUAAGCGCAGCGAUGCGUUGAGCUAACCGGUACUAAUGAACCGUGAGGCUUAACCUUACAACGCCGAAG
rnacentral:rRNA from 1 species